rnacentral:rRNA from 1 species
UACGUAUGGAGCAAGCGUUAUCCGGAUUUACUGGGUGUAAAGGGUGCGUAGGCGGCACAGCAAGUCAGAUGUGAAAGACCGGGGCUCAACCCCGGGGCUGCAUUUGAAACUGCCGAGCUUGAGUCCGGGAGAGGCAGGCGGAAUUCCUAGUGUAGCGGUGAAAUGCGUAGAUAUUAGGAGGAACACCAGUCGCGAAGGCGGCCUGCUGGACCGGAACUGACGCUGAGGCACGAAAGCGUGGGGAGCAAACAGG